rnacentral:lncRNA from 1 species
CCACGCAUCGAUCGCGCAGCCCUUCAUUCCCCAGCUGUCAGCGACCAGCACAGGACACAUCGACCUCUUCCCCCGAGACUCCGCGGAGCUCAGCCUGAGGUAGGCAGAGCACGGCGGACAGUGGCAUCGAAGGCUCUAUUUUCAGAGACAGCAGCAAUGUGGGGCACCAUCCUGCUAGGAUGAAUGGAGUGUGAACCCCUGAUGACCUUUCCCUAAUUGAAGUCUGCAAGAGUCACAACCUGGCAAAGC